rnacentral:rRNA from 1 species
UACGUAGGGUGCGAGCGUUGUCCGGAAUUAUUGGGCGUAAAGGGCUCGUAGGCGGUCUGUCGCGUCGAAAGUGAAAACCCAGGGCUUAACCCUGGGCCUGCUUCCGAUACGGGCAGACUAGAGGUAUGCAGGGGAGAACGGAAUUCCUGGUGUAGCGGUGAAAUGCGCAGAUAUCAGGAGGAACACCGGUGGCGAAGGCGGCCAUCUGGACCGCAACUGACGCUGAGGCGCGAAAGCGUGGGGAGCAAACAGG